GACGAACGCUGGCGGCGUGCCUAAUACAUGCAAGUAGAACGCUCAAGAGAGGAGCUUGCUCUUCUUGUAUGAGUUGCGAACGGGUGAGUAACGCGUAGGUAACCUGCCUAUUAGCGGGGGAUAACUACUGGAAACGGUAGCUAAUACCGCAUAACAAUUUAUAACACAUGUCAUAUAUUUGAAAGGCGCUAUUGCUCCACUACAUGAUUGACUUGCGUCGUAUUAGCUAAUAUGUUAGGUAAUGGCUCUCCCAGGCGACGAUACAUAGACGACCUGAGAGGGUGAUCGGCCAAAAUGGGAAUGGGACAACGCCCAGGAUUCUAAGGGGGGGAGGCGGAGGGGAUCUUUGGCAAUGGGGGCAACCCUGAACGAGCAAAGCCGCGUGAGUGAAGAAGGGUUUCGGAUCGUAAAGAUCUGUUGUAAGGCAAGAAAGGGUGUGAGAGUGGAAAGUUCACACUGUGACGGUAGCUUAUCAGAAAGGGACGGCUAACUACGUG
rnacentral:rRNA from 1 species